UAGGGAAUAUUAGAAAUGGACGAAAGUCUGAUCUAGCAACACCGCGUGUGCGAAGAAGGCCUUUGGGUCGUAAAGCACUUUUUGGAAGGAAUAGGAAGGAAUGUACUUCCAGAAUAAAUCUCGGCUAACUACGUGCCAGCAGCCGCGGUAACACGUAGGAGGCAAACGUUAUCCGGAUUUACUGGGCGUAAAGCGCGUGUAGGUGGUACUGUAAGUAGGGCGUGAAAGCUCCUGGCUCAACUGGGAGGGGCCGUUCUAAACUACAGAACUAGAGGAUGGUAGAGGGAGGUGGAAUUCCAGGUGUAGCGGUGGAAUGCGCAGAUAUCUGGAGGAACACCGGUGGCGAAGGCGGCCUCCUGGACCAUUCCUGACACUCAGACGCGAAAGCUAGGGUAGCAAACGG
rnacentral:rRNA from 1 species